UAUCUAUGUCUAUGAAUGCACAUUGUGUGUGAUAUGUACAUAUGGAGCACACACAACACAUUCUUUCUUUUUUUCUUUCAUUCUCUAUAUGUUUGAGAUACACAUCGACAUACACAGAGCACAAUAGCUGCAAUAUAGCAGCAGCAGCAGCAGCAACAGCAACCAAAAGACCCUGAAACAACACAAAACCAUAUAUUCCUGCGAACCGUUGGAAAAUUCACUGUCGUAUUUGUACAUUUUUCAUAUCAAUGCAAAAUUUUCCUUCGAACCGACCAGUCAGUUCUUCCAAAACAACAAGAGCGAUCUCGAUGUUGUGCACGCGAGCACGACAGAAGAAAGAAGACGAACGAACGAGCGCCUGACACUGAAAAUCCAACCAAAACCAGAAAAAAAACAACCAACCAACCGAACAUAACUGAAAAUAGUGCAAUCCGUAUAAAUAAUAUUUUAUUCGAAGCAGGCCACUAGCGACGAGAGAAAGAGAGAAUAAAAAAAUGAACGAUUUCUGUAUAUAAUUAUUAUGUGUUCAAGUUUCUGAUAUAUUUGAAGCGCAAUUCAAGCCGAAACCGUGUAAAAACUAUAUUGCUGCCGCAAAUUGACCCGAUGUUGACUAUUAAUCACAAAACACAGUUAAUAAACAUUAACAGUCUCUCUCUCACUUUCGGUUCAGUGUGAAAAUAAUUUUUUACUUUUUUUUUAUUUGAGUUUAUCAUAUUUUCUUUUCUGUUUCUCAUACGACCGCAAAAAAAAAUAAUUUCAAAUUUUAUCAGAAAAUACGUCGUUGUUGUCAAAUCAACUGUACAUAGGAUCGGGUGAGUUGAACCAAAAAAAAAUAUCCAGUAGACAUUUAAACGAGACAGUACAAUUAUCCGUAAGCAAAUUUUCAUAUUUUUUAUAAAAAAAAAAAAAUAAUCGAAAAUCCAUUUAAAUCAAUUCAUAAUUAAAUGUACCUCAAAUUUCAUAGCAUUAUUUUGUUAUGAGUCGUUGUCUUUUCGGCAUUAUGCUAAUUUCAGUAAAAUAUCAGUCAAUACUUCAUCACAUUGUGCAAUUUGCGUUCUCAUACUAAACUAAAUACAAUUAUAUCUAAUAUACAACGAAUGUACAUAUAGCAUAUACCAGAGAGAGAAAUGACGCACUCACGAUCAAUUCGUGGAAAUAAAAGGACGGAAUGUUUCGGAAGAAUAAUAAAUAUUGUUUUUGGUUGUUGUUGUUGUUUCUGUCGUUUGUUUUACUUCAUCACUUUAAAUUGAAUUUCAAGUUGUUGGUUGGUUUUAUUUCUUCUCUCUGGAAAUGUUCAAUCGGGUUUUUUUUGUCUCUUCUGAAAAUGGUGCAAGAUAGAGACGUAGUGGUAAAUAAAUAGUAGUAAUUGUACAAUUGAAUCAAAACAGGCAAAAUAAUUGAAUUUGAGAGAAGAGACGAAAGCGAAAAAACGAGGCAAAAUAAUGAUUUCAGUUUGACGUGUAUGAAUGUGUGUGUGUGUGUGUGUGUGUGUGUGUCGAUUAUAGUGAGUCACACGAGCGAAAUUCACUCGACUCGAAAACACAAAAAUCGACAAACAUGUUUUCGGUCAUGAGCAGAAAACGAUGAUGAUGAUGAUUGAGUCAGAGUCAGAGAGGAAGAGGGUUAUUUCACCAUAUGAUGCAUUUUUUUCGGGUAAAUAUUAUCGUUUGGAAUUUCACUUGAAUUCCGGUGUGUCGAAUCGAAGUCGCAGUUUUUCGCUGUUUGUUGGCUUAAUUGAAAUCGCAUUCGCACUCGCAUAUGAAGGGAGAAAGAGAGAGAGAGAGGGGUUGUGUGUUGGCGAAUGAAAGAUGAUAUUGUCUUGUUUAGUAUUGAUGGAAAAAAAAAUGCCAUCACACACACACACACACGAACAUACUCACAUAUCGUAACUCGUCAUGGGCUCAAUUUGUUAACUGCGUAACAAUAAUUUGUACACCUCAUAUUUAUCAUUGUGGUUUUUGUUAUUGCUUGUGUAAUGUAUAUAUGUUUUUUGUUUCUUCAUUUUUAUUUUGUUUGCAAACUUUGCAUUGAAAAUUGAGCGACAUCUAGAAUUUUGAGAUAAGCAAGAAAGAGAGAGAGAGAGAGAGAGAGCGAGAAAGCGCGAAUAUGAGUGCCAAUGCGACAGAGAUUGCAUUCAAAUGAUAAUUAAUAAUGGAAGUAUUGUUUUCAUUGAUGACUCGUUCGGUUGUGUCAGAUGAUUCGUUACGGCUUAGAUAAAAAUGCAAAUGGAAAGAAAAUUAAAAAAAAUGGUAUGCCCUUCCUCUGUCCAACCGAGCCGAAUGAAUCAAUAAAGGUGUAAGCGAUUCAAAUACGUAGCAAUUUUCAAGAAAAAAACACAUUACAUGCACAAAGAGGGAAAGAGAAAGAAUCGGAACAAGAAAGAGAGGGAGACAGAGAGUGAAAAGGAAAAAAAACCACGAAAAUAUUAUAAGAUUUGUGAUACAUCUAUACAACAUCGACAUGUUGCAAAAAAUCCUCUGAUGCGAUGGCAAUACAUACAAGCCUGCACGGCUCACACACAGUGAGGAGCGCGCGCGACAUGGUCACAAAAAUCGUUUCGCUUCGUUCGGCAUUGCUAUUGUUGUUGUUAUUGUCGACGACAACAACGACAACGACGACGACGACGAUGAUGAUGAUGAUGGUGGUGUAUGCGUGUGUGUCUGUGUGCUAUGUGGCUCGUCCGUGUGCAUGUGUUUUUCUAGCAAACAACAGGAACUGAUUCAAGUUCACUGUCAAGGUCGCUAUCAGAGCGCACACGCAGACCCUGCAUUGCAGAACACAUGAAUAUAUGAAAACGAACACAAAUUAUAUAUUUUUCUCGAUUGUGUUCAACACAUUCGUGCGCUCGCUCGCUCUCACUCUAACGCGCGCGCUUCAACAUACACUUUGCAUAUAUUUAUAUAUACCCACCUAUAUAUGACGUAUAUGUAUACAAUGUGCUUGAAUAGUGUCCAAAACACUACGCAAUCAUCAUCUAUACACACAGAAGAAGAAGAGAAAAAAUAAUGGGCAGAAAUAUUGUGCAGCCAAGAAAUCAUUUGGAACAUAACAUUUCUCGGCGCGAAAACGACAAGUUCGGUGGUUCAACAACGAGACGACGACGACGGAGAAACAAAACACGUAGCGGCCGAGCAACGUAUAGAGGCGCAUUUAUUUUGUGGAGUCUCAAGUUCAAUAAAUGAAACGUAAUAAGCGUUUUACCUCACAAAACCCGAGACCGAUAUUCAAACACAGCACAAGAAUUAACAGAAUAAAAACCAAAAAAAAAGAGAAAAGAUUAAUAAUAAGAACACCCAAGCAGCGAAAGAGUGUAUAGCAAUUCGGUUGAUUUUUUUUCGGUUUCAUUUGUUUUGUUCAGUUUUAGUCGAAAGCAUAAAAUUCGAUUAAGAAAAGUUUCAAAUCGAAAUUCGUCUUGCGUGUACAGUCACAUAAUAAUUUAUUUAUACAGUAAUACUGUUGUUGUUAUUUUCGUUGCUGCUGCUGCCGUUGCUGCUGUUAUUGUUGUUGUUGUUGUUGGUUUUUCAUUCGGAGAUUCGAGAAAGACAGAGAUAGAAUGGAAAAAAAAGAAAGAGUGAACGCGAAAAAAACACAACAUCAGAGAGAAGAAAAAAAAACUGGCCAGUGUGUCUCUUUCUCCUGUAUCGACGACGAUUUUUUUUUGUUUGUUUGUGAUGUUACACAAAUAUAUACAGAAUAUAUUCCAAACGCACACCACAGCGACGACGACGUUUCAACGUUGUUGUUGUUUCCUUUGUAGAUAUUUUUACCAUAUAUUCCGAAAAAGUUAGCGGCGUAAUAUCUAGUUCGCGCAUAUGCUUACUGAAACAUUGGUGCAAAACAACUCGAUAAAUACGGACUACAUUUUCAAUUUGGUUCGAUUUUUUCUUUCCGUUCGAAAAGAGUGUUAUCGUCAAAAUGACCGAAAAUAUUUCAAAUAAAAUCAUUAAAUGUUUAAAUUCGUUUCCAAUUCAUGACGCAUUUCAUUGAAAUCGAUACAGAGAGAAGAAAUAUGUGUAAAAAAGCGAGCAAUUUGUUUGUUGGUUUUAUUUUGUUCAAUUGAAAAACAGAAAAUGCUUUUCACAUCGUUCAAGUUCAUUGAAAUUGGCUGACACUGUGAAUAAUUUCGCUCGCAUUUGUGUGUGCUUCGUUUUUCCCGAUGGUCGCGCGUUUUCCGUGAGCCGCAAUGACGGAAUUGAAGCAAUAGAGACCAGAAUGAACGAAAUAAAAACGCAGCAACAACAAAACGAACGACGUUCAAGUGGAAGAAACCAUUGUUUGUGACGAUGCCAAGCAGAUGUUAAUCUACGCUUAAUUUGAUCCUCUUCAAAAUUCGCUGAAAUUUUCUUAUUUUGCUAAAUAAAUCGAAUGAUUUUCUCGUUGAUUGUUGCACGGAUGAUUUUUUCGGGCACGCGAAAAGCGAUUUUUUUUCUAUUCAAAAUUCUAUAUCAAAUGAAAAUUUUCGUUUUUCUUCAUUUUUUAAAUGGAAAAAAAAAUUCGUUUUGAUUUUGAUGUGAUGCAUUUUUCGGCAAAAUAUGUGAACUAGAAUGGAUGGGUAUAGAAAGAAAAAUAUUUUCAUAUUGCACCAUUUUCAAAAGGGAUCAAGAGAAAAAGAGACAGAAUUGCGGUGAGGAAAUUCGAAAUUCAAUGGACCCCGUGAUGUAAAUUCAAUCGGACCGUUUUUUUCUGUUGUUAUUGUGUUCAUUGUUUUUUUUUUGCUGUUGUUGCGGUUUAAAAAUAUUCCAUCAAUCAAUCAUUUCAAGUGUAUUUAUAUUUAUGACUCAAAUGAAUCGGUAAAAUACUUGCUCACAGUUAUUUUGCAUAUAACAAGUGUGUCCAUCUAUACUUAGCUUUACAUGAAAGCACCGCGAGCGCGCAUCGCUAACGUCGUGUAUUCGUUCGGAUAAGUUUUUCAAAGUGCUUUUUUUGCAUUGAACGAUAAUUUUUUUUCUGCUGUUGUUUUGAUACAUCGUCGGAAAUAAACAUGCCACCGCAAGAGAAGGAAGGAACCAUCACAGAAUGGGAUGGAACGAGGUUGUGAAGGAAACAAAAAAAUAACAGAGUUUAACAGUUGUGUAAUCCGUUUGUACGUAAUCAACACAAUCAGAAAAGGACUGGCAGAUCCGGAAAAAUGAGACGCAGAGAGAAAGAAAAUACAUGGUGUUUGAAUCACUGGGGUACUCCCUGUGGUCGCUGUUUCCCCUGCCAAUUAGCACAAGUGAACACAGCUGGUGGUAUCUCAGUGGAUUGAACACACCAUUCGACUUGUGUUUGUGUGAAUUUUUCGAAUCAUCUCUCAUUUCUGACCAAUAUUUUAUGAUCAAAUGUAAGUAUUUUGAAAAUGGAUCCCACCACAAAUAUCUGCACACCCGAUGAAUACGGACACAAAAGAUUCCACUUCAGUUUCUUUCAUAUUCUUUGGGUAUGUAUUAAAUCUAUUUAGUAUCUACUUAAUUUACGUUAUGUAAAUAGAAUUUUUUUUUUUUUUUGAAAAAAAAAAGUUAGUUUUAAAAUCAAAGAAAAUGGCACAAUAUCGACAGUUGACGAAAGACUACAAACCUAAUGUCUUACAAUUCAAAUAUGGAGCAAAAAACAAAUGAGGAAACAACCCUUAAACUAAGCUUUUUGUUUGGAAAACCCAACAUUUUCGAGAAAAAAAAAAUCUGAAAUUUUCGAAGAGUUAAUUUCGAAACGAACAAAAUCAAUUUGAUUUGAAAGAAAAUACUUACGAAUUACAUGAAAAACUAACCAUUUUAAAAUGGAUACUAUGAAACCACUCAUUGUAAAUAGUCAAAAUUGAAUUUUAAAUUAAUAGAAUUUAUUUUUUUCAAACCUAUUUCAUCAUUGCAAAACCAUAAUAAUAAUAAAUUAAUAAUCGAUGUUUUCAGUAAUUAAUCUUGUGAGAAUAUUCUCGGGCUGAAUUCAUUGUAAUGCGCCAAGCGCAUACAUCAUUUCAAUUUCGGCCCCGAAUACGAUUUUCAAGGGUCAAAAGUUAAAGGUCAAAGUUAGUUACUCAUUUAUUUAUUUUGUUCUUGCUCAUGCCCAUGUGUAACGAUGAUUGUGUGUUCAAUGUUACGAAUCAGGCUUUGCAGUGAAAAUGCGAUUCGGGUGGAAAUUGCUCAAACCCAAAUCUCAUACGCUUCCACCAUAUAGGAAUAGCAAUUACAUGACCCACUUACAUAUUUCUGUAUUUCAAUUUCUAUUCAUCUCUCUCGCAACCGAAAACGCCGAAAAUGAAACCAAAUUGAAGCGAGCAAAAAAAUACACAUUAUUCAGAGAUUGACAAAACAGAAGGAAAAAAAACGGGCAGUUCUUCGUUUUAAAAUGUUACAAGUCAAAUUCCUUCUUCCCAAUUUUCUAAAAAUAACAACAACCGUAUUUUUCAAAUACACCGAAAUUUUCGCUGAAGUGCGCUCAAUGUUCUCAAUUGCACACGAAUAUUUAGUGUGAACGCGAAAAAGCAACGGCAAUAUGAGGAAAAAAACCACACACACAUACAUUGGAGUGUAUAUAGUUCGUUUGACGAAGUUUGAUCUAAUAUCAUAAUAUGCAAUUAAAAUUGAUUUCUCGUUAUUUUUGCGCGCGCUUUAUUGAAGUGACCGAAUGGAUUCGUUGUUUUUUUUUCUCUCUCUCGCAGUGUAAAAUGAUCACAUUUAUCUUGUACGCCUAAACAUCAACCAGUGAGCCGCUCGUUUUUUUAUUGCAUUUCAUUUACGUGUGUGUGUGUGUGUGUGUGUGCUGUUGAACAUAUGAUUCGAGAGUGAUGUACAGAUUGUACACUAGGGUGUUUCUGCCAUCAAAUAAUCAAGAAAUGGUAGUUCUGGAUUGAAAGAGUGAACAAUUCUGAGUCGAUUGCAUGUAUUUUUACUUUAAAAUAUUCAAAGAUGCCACUUCCCGAGAUCAAAACAGAAAAUCAUAGAAUUUUGAGGUUAUAUUUUUGUUCACUGAAAUAAAGCAAUAUUUUCGACUCAUCCACUUUCAAUCUCACUGCCAUUGGUAAAUUCACGAUGCAGAAUUUCAUUUUCAUGCAUAUUUCGUCGAAAAAAUCAAGGAAAUCGGUGAAAUAUUACACAUUUUCCAUCGCAUCUUUGACGGCAUUUUCGAUUGAAGAAAUAACACUAAUAGAAACUAUUUUUUCACCGGAAUUCAAUCAAUGCAGUUAAAACACACGAUAAAUUAUCUGAAUUUAUCAAAACAUUCGAUCGAACAAGCGCAGAAAGACCAAUUUGGAACAAACGAAAGAUGUAAACAAAAGCGAAUUGUCAUCACGAAAUCUGGGCUCAUUAGACAUUAUAAAGGAUUGCCAAUACACUUGCCCGAAUAAAUAACAACUAAUUCGCACAUAGUGAUUCGCGCAGUUGUGUUACAGUCUUGUCAAACAUCAAAACAAGCCCGAAUUUUACGAUGACAGCUCGUUUCUGUUUACAUUUUUCGUUCGCUCUAAAUUGGUCUUUCUGCAUUUGUUCGAUCGGAUGUUUUGAUGAAUUUAGAUAAUUUAUCGUGUGUUCUAACCGCAUUGAUUGAAUCCUUGUGAAAAAAAUAGUUUUAUUAGUGUUAUUUCUUUCAUUGAAAAUGCCGUCGAAGAUGCGAUGGAAAAUGUGUAAUAUUUCACCGAUUUCCUUGAUUUUUUCGACGAAAUAUGCAUGAAAAUGAAAUUCUGCAUCGUGAAUUUACCAAUGGCAGUGAGAUUGAAAGUGGAAGAGUCGAAAAUAUUGCUUUAUUCCAGUGAACCAAAAUAUAACCUCAAAAUUCUAUGAUUUUCUGUUUUGAUCCCGGGAAGUGGCAUCUUUGAUUAUUUUAAAGUAAAAAUACAUGCAAUCGACUCAAAAUGGUUCACUCUUUCAAUCCAGAACUACCAUUUCUUGAUUAUUUGAUGGCAAAAACACCCUAUUGUACACUCAUAAGACACCUUGAGACACACAACAAACAUCAACAUCCCCACAAACAGAAUGCACGCACCUCACAUCCGUCCGUCCGUUCGUACGUGUGAUGCACAUUUGGUUAAUUAAUGCGAUUUGAUGAACUGAAUUAAAUCACAGGAAUUCAAAACAACACCAACAGCAAAUGAACGGGUGCAACCAUUAAUCCUGUUUGUAAUAGCACACCAUUUGUUAAAAAAUAGUCGAUUUUUCACGUGGGCACACAACGUGUGUAUCUAUCGUUUAUCCUUGGGCGCAAUAAGAUGUGUCGCAAUUGUCCUGUAUUUCGACGACGUGGCACAUGACAAUCUCAAUCUCUCUCUCUCUUUCUUUCUCUCGUGGUCCCACUUUCAAGAGAUUUGGCAUGAGCCAAUAGCCCACAUUGAAUUCUUUUCAUUUGCUCAUCAUCAUACAGAGAGAUAACUAAAGAUUUCUUUUCGGUGGCUUUUUUUCAACGUUGUUGACGUUGUUGUCGUUCUCUCACUUCAGUCCAACCGUUGAAACAAAACAACUGCGCACAUUUUUUUUUCUGAACCAAACACUUUGUUCGGCUGAUUUCAAUUGACUUGAUUGUGAGAGUAAGCGGUUAUGGUGAAUAUUACGAAAGGAAUUUGUUCAACAGCAACCGGGGAAGAAAAAAAAACAUAUAGUCAACUUCGGUUGUGGGUGCAUUCAGUAAUCGGAAAUAUCAAGCAAUUUCGUUUUCAACGAAGUGUGUGCAAUCAAGCGUUUGAAAUAUUGCAUUAAUAAUUUGUUCAAUCGAUUUCGAACGCAUUUCUUGCCUCUCUAUUUUGCAUUGGGAAAAAAAACGCAAAAAAGUUGUAAUAGAAAACAGUAGAACUUUUCCCAACGAAAUGUUCAUACAGAAAAAAGUGAACUUUUCACGGUUUGGUGGAAAAGAAGUGUUUUGAAAGUGAAGAAGCUUACUACCUUCGAGACUAAUUCAGAGGUUCUUAUGAAAGGUUGAAACGGCUUGAAUGGCAACCCUAGAAAAUGUAAGAGCAAGAGCAUGAGAGACAGAGGGGGAGAGUGAGUGAGAAAGGUAGACAAAUGUGGAGAGAGAAGGGGCUACAUCUCAGAUCUCUAUUGUUGUAUGAAUGACGAUUGUUUUUUUUGGCUUGUGUGUGUAUAGUGAUAAUCAUACGAAUGAAUAUGAAUCGUGGCAAAUCAAAGGUUCAGCAGCGCGCUAGCUGUGUGUGUUUUUUUUUUCUUGCACACACUAAUCGUGGUCGAAGUAACGACGUUGCAUUUCAAGUCAUUUUCCCACUGACCAAUACACUUUGCAGUGUGUGCCACAUGCUUAAACGAAAAAGAAAAUGCAGCAACAAUAUAAGGCAACGCACAAUGUUUCACAUGCACAAUAUCGAAACUAUAUUCCUUCGUGAUGAUUAAAAUAUACAUUUGUGUAUCUUAUUUUAUAAUUGAAAUAGAAGAGCGAGAGAGCGAUAGAGAAAAAGCAAGAGAAUUGGUGAUUUUGUUUUUGUAUUUGAUUUGCGUUGCAACGGUUGAUGUGCAAGUGUGGGCUUGAAAUGUGUAUAUGGGUGCUGCUGCUGUUGUUGCUGCUGCACUUGUGUGUUUGAGAUGAGUGACGAGCAACUAGCGUUUGAAGCGUGUGAGCGAACAGGGCGAGCGUGUGCGGCAGCAGCAGCAGUGAGAUAUAGCAUUUGGAAUACACUGCACAUUUGUGUAAAAGUCCGCCAAUCUAUCCUCUCUCUCGCUCACUGAUUUACAGCACAUAUAGAUAGAUAGAGCUUGCAACUAAUAGUAAUUAGUUUGUAGUUUAGUAGGUUUGUGUGGUGUAGUACAUUUGGCUCACUCGAAAAAAUUUAUUUAUAAAUUUUACUUGUCUCUUUUUUUUUUCAUUAAGUUGUUGUUGUUAGUUUUGUUUUUUUUUCUUUUUUUUUCUAAAUUUCGAUUCGGCGAUUUGGUUGUGUGUAUGUUUCGACAACUUGUAUGUGUGUGUGUGUGUAUCCAAAUGGGUUCUGGUGUGUUGUCUCUCUAAUAUUUUUCGAUUUAAUCUCAGUGCGCGUAGUGCAAGCACUCGAAUCUAUUCCAUCGCAAUGGCCAUCGAAUCGUGUCGUUUCAUUCGUACACCGUUUUUUUUCUUCGUUCGCGAUCCCCCUCUUUUUUCGCGCACGAAAACCUCAAGUGCCGUUUGCCGUUGGCUGCUGCCUGACUUCGGCCUGACUCGACUGUGUGAGAAAUGCAAUCCGAGAAAUUAUUAUUGCCUUAAUGUUUUGUUCAAAACCACCGACAAGUUCGGUAAGAUAGUUUAUAGCCGACGACGACGCGCGAGAAAACAAUAAAACGCUAAAAUAAUAUCUUCGAUGAAAUCAAUAGCAUCUUAAUAUUAUUAAAAAAGAAGAAGUAGUAGUAGUUGAAUUUGAGAAGAAAAAAAACGGUACAAGUGCUUAAUUUGAGUGUGACACUUAAUCGUAGACACAACAUCGUUGCAUCGCUGUGCUAGCCCUAUUUUCAACCGUGAAUUUGGUUUGCGUGUAUCGAAUUGAUUAAAUUAAAUUAAUAAUUGCUUUAUUUGCCCACAUUUCGACUAAAAAUAUUUUUGGACGUAAAAAGAAGAGGAAUCGAGGGGAGAGAGAGAGAGAGAGAGAGAACGCGCGAAAUGGAGAGCGAAAAUAAACCAAAGGAAUUGUGAAAUUUUAACACUCCGUCACUUGACACGAAAUUUGAACUGGCGAGUGGAAAAGUGUGUUUGUUUGUUUUUUCCUAGGUAUAUCCAAGAGUCGCGAAUCAUCGAGCAAAUCCAAGAAGAAAACGACUCACCAAUCGUAAAUUCGUUGAGCCGUUUUGUGUUAAGUGAAUUUUUUUUUCUGUUGAAAAGAAUCUUAUUUAUAUAAUAAAUCCAUUGAGAGAUUAUCGCGGCUUCCAUUGGCUUAGACCCAUGAAAAUAAAAAUGCUUUCGAGAAAUUCUAUGAAGUCAUUGAAAAUGCCAUUGAUUUCGAGAUAAUUUUCAGAGAAAUUACGAUUUCUCUAGUAAAGAUUAAAUAAAAAAAUUAUCAAUGAAUUGAGCUAAUUUUGGUAUGCAAAUAUCCUCGCAAGCUAAACGGACAUUGAGAGCAGAAAAAUAAAACCGAAAACAAAGAUUAUCUCUCGUACGCAUUAUACUCUCUCGUACUCAUUUCAUUGACCAACUGAUUCGAUUAAUGAGAAUGGAGGUAAAACCAAUGAAAAGCCGGCAUUGAUAGACUUGUCUUUCACUCAAUGGCCAGUCAGCGAUUUCAGUUGUACUGAGCCUCAAAGUACAUUUCAAUUAACAAACUGUCAAACUCAUUUUGCGAAAUGAUCGCGUUGUCGAUUCAUGUCAAAAUGUAUGUGUGUGUGUGUGCGGCUUAUGUAAUUGCAAGAGGCACCAACAGCCUUUUUAAAAAAAAAUGUCUCGAAAUACUGCCGCGCACAUCCGUCUGAAAAUGCGUAUUUGACAGCCAUCACUCACCGAAAAAAAAAACCAAAUGAGAAGAGAGAAAGAAAGAGAAGAGAGGAAAAAAUUCUUAUGAUUACAACUAUUGUUAUGCAGUGUGACAUUUGACCUAAAUUUGCGCUUGAAAACAAUAUUCGUUUCACUUUCAAAUCGCAUGCAAAAUCGUCGAAAAAUAUAAACGCAGUGAACCAACAAACAAACAAACGAAAGAACGAACGAAUGAGAAAAAGGCAGAGAGAUCCACUUUGCAUACAUAAAUAGCGAACAUUAUAAAUUCUGCAUGAUAGAUCUAAUGAAGAAUUUGCGGUUGAUUGCUGCGCGCACUCCACGCUCAGCGCUCGCGCGCACCCUACAAACGCAACGAGAAGAAAAAAAUGUUUUUUUUUCUUCUUUCAAGUCUAUGCAUUAUAUGCAUAAUAAGCGAGACUUUCAAGAAUCGAUCGGAAGGAAAAGUGAAACACUAGUUCUUGCCAUGCAAGCAACGACAAUAACGACGACGGUAUACAGCCACGCUUUGACCAAAACUAGAUCAUAAUUUUUCAAAACACUCAUUUCAGAUCGAAAUCAAGCCACAACUCAAUUUUUCUCUAUAUCAGAGAGACGGCCGCUUUAAUCGCCUUUGAACAUAUUUGUACAACAUUUUGUUGUUGUCAUGUGCACAAGAUCGCAUUCAAGGUGAUUGGAGACGUUUGCAAAUCAUAAAAGUAUAUUGACGGUAUGUCGUCGGAAUUAGGGUUGAGCUAAAUCGGUGAGGAAAGUGUUUGAGAGUUGGGUGUCACUUUGGCAGGUAUCUGGGACUGUAUUCAUGAUAAUCGAAUGCAAAAUUGAGUGAGAAAAGAAUAAGAAAAAAACCUUGAUAUAAAUUCCUACACAUUCGAUGGGUAUAUAUACAUCUGAGUGUGUGUGUGUGUGUUGGUUUUGUUGUUGCUAAAUUGCAUUGCAUCAUAUAAAAAUUGGUUGCCACUGCCGAAAUAAGAAGCGGAUUCUCAUUGGGCUGCAAACUCGAUUUCUCGGUAAUCCAAUCGGUAAUUUCAAAAAGCUAUUUCGAUCGACUAAUAGUUCUUCGUAACACACCGAAAAUCGUCUCGAAGUUCAUACCGCUCGCUCACUCUAACCUACGUCGAUCAACAAAAAGAGAGCUAAAAAAAGCUCGAAGGCGUGGUGUAUAUGAUCUGUAGGCAUGCAAUUGGCAUAAUUUUGCAAAUAUCUAUGUGAUCAUAGUGAAUUUUUUUUUCUGAAGGUAAACAUAACUAACUAUGCAAACCCAUCUAUCCACUCAAAAACCUCACUUAAAAUGAUACUUUGAAUUGUAUUCGUUGUAGAUAUUUGUUGGUUAUUGUUGUUGGUACUGUUGCCGCUGUGCAUACACCUCAACACCAUCCAACUGUCAUCGCAACCUAAAACGCAAUGCUUUCUUAUGCAAGACAUUUUUUCUUCUUUGACUUUUAUACAUAGUACACAUUGCACAUUGCACAUUUUGCAUUAAAUAUUUUCAAAUCGAAUUCCGUUGUUUAGCUAUUCAGCUGACUCGAAAUAAGAAUCACAAACAUAAUUGACGAUGAGUUGUAAUUUUUGCAAAACACCAAUCGAUUUGAUUUCAUUUUGCUGAAGUGAAAUUCUAAUGAAAGAAAAAUUGGCUCUUUUGCUUCGAAACUAAUAUAAAACUGCAUUGAAUGGAUGAGAAAAAAAAUUAGAGAGGAAAUGGAUUGGUUAAAAUAUUCAAAACUUUAUUGCGGUAAAAAGUGUUUCGUUGCAGCAAAGAAACUCUCCCUUGUGGAAGGGAAAGAGAGAAAAGCGCAAAAAAGGACUUUAAACGUCCUUGUGAGUAAAAAAAAAAGAGAGCAAAGGGCCGGUUGGCACGUGGACUUUCUACGUCGCCUAACAGCACCAGUUGUGCGGUUGAGCCAAAAAGAAUUUCGGAUUAUGGUGCAAGAUACCACGUCGAUUGCGCGUGCGUGCAUGCGCGUGCAAGCAACCACACUGUGUCGGCUCUCAAGGGGUUCCGUGCUGAUGAUUUCGUGUGAUUCGUAUCGAAGAGAAAACGUUUUCAUUUGAUGCGAGAGAUGAUGUUUUUCUCCAAAGAUGCAUUAAUCAAACAGUGUUUGAUCGUGCUCGCACCCGCUCAAUUGCCUUUGCUCGCGUUAUUCUAUUCAUUUCGUGGUUGUUGUUGUUUUAUUUUCGUUAAUAUUUUUCUGUUAGUUUCAUUCAAAUCAACACACAAUUUCAAUAAUGAACAUUAAUAGAUUUUUUUUUUCGCCUUUGAAAAUGGCGCGUUGCAUGCGCGCACAUACUGCGCAAACAGCGCAUGUAUAACAUUAAAACCAUAAUUAAAUAGGGCGUAAAGUAGUAGUAACAUGAAUCUAAAAAGAGAGAUUCGACCAAAGAAUGCAUUCAACUUACACGCGCAUGCAUUCUACGCGAAUUAGGUAAUGAAAAGCAAAAAAAAAACUCAUACACACAUCGCCAACAAACACACUACACUCAAGCUCAAUAAAAUAAAAAAAAAAUAAUGAAAGAAGAAGAAGAAAAAAACUUUGAAUUCUCAUUCGACUUUUGUCGAAACGAAAGCCAAUGAAAGCAAUAAAAAACAAUUUCAUGAAAGGUCUAAACUUUAUCGAGCCUCUCAAUUGUAACAGUCACUUUUUAUAAACCGUUUUUCUAGCAACAACAACAAUACAAAUUACAAACUCACAAAAACCACCACUAAAACAAAUCAAAAA